CGCCCCACGGCCCCACCGCAGCCCCGCGGCGAGGGGCUACAGUCCGGCUUUGCCCCGGGUCGACCCGGGGUGAACGCCGCAGAGGCUGCGGAGCAGUGGCGGUGCCCUCUCGAGUAGCAGCGGGCUUGGCAAGGCUCCUGCAGGAUCUCUCGUGGGCACAUCCCUGCCCUUUUCCUCCUCUCUCCUCCGCAGCCCUCUCCUCAAAUGUGUGGCAUCUUACCGAGGCGCUGGGCAGAGGGUACCCCUCCCCUCUCCCCGUGCAAAGGCUUUCGCCCCUGCGCGGGUGCCCGAGGCUGUGUCUGCCCGGCGGCUCGCAGGAACCCGGGGAUGCGGCCGUGCGGUGGGACAGGGAGGCUCUGACACAGCGCCGAGCACUGCGGGGCGAGACCCGGGGGCAUUUUUGUGGGAGAUUUGUACAAUCCGUGUAAAGCUCGGGAAAGGGACGGAGGGAAGCGGAGCAGACUCGGGAGAGUGCAAAACUCGCGCCGAGAGGGAGAGCUCGGCUUUGGAAGCAGGGAUCUGUAUCUUGCCAAGGUGAUAAUUGGAAAAAUAUCCCCGCGAGCCAACGUUUCCAUAGGUUCUUUUUUUUUUCUUUUUCUUUUUUUUUUCUUUUUUUGCCCCCUUUUAUUCUUUUUUCUUUCCCUUACUUUCUUUUUCUUUUUCUUUUCUUUUUCCUCUCGUGUAGCACAAGUUCACGUAAGCUUUCGAUAGCUGAAGUCGUCAGAGUUUCCAUCCCUCGCCCAGAAAGCCACUAAUCUGAGUUGCUUUUGCGGUGGCUAUUUACAGGCAAUUAUAGGAUAGGCAUAUGUUACCAAAGAGCGGGAACGAGUGUGGUCUUUCGUCCUCUUUCAUGCUUUCAAUUAAACGGUUCUCUCUGUUCGUGCAUACUUAAACACUUCUUCUUCUUCUUCUUCUUCUUUUUUUUUUUCCAACUCUUUUGCAAAGCCCCUUAAAGCUUAAAAAAAAAAUACUGCCAUGACAUGCAGUCCUUUGUUUGUUUGCUUGCUUGCUUGCUUGCUUGUUGUUUUUGCUGCACUUCUCUUAGGGAUAAACGAAAGGUGAUGGUUUCACUUCGGACAUCGAAGCGAAGGCAGGAAGAGUCACAGUGAUUAACGAGCCGUGUUUCGGGCAGGGGCUGCCGAGGACGGGCGCUCCGCCGCGCUCUGGGCAACGUGCGGGGCCGCGUCCCCCGCGCUCCCACUCCCCGCACGGAGCGUGGGAUCCUGGCGGGGGCGGAGAACGAAAGGUGGCUUUGUCAUUAUCGUCAUUAAACUUCCUGAGAGGCAGUGAGAUAAAAAGGCACUCCGAAGUGCAAAUGACAACUUCUGGUUUCGGUGGUUUUGCGGGAUGUAUGGCUUCUCAUAUGGACUUGGUGUUUUAAUUGUUGCUCCUCAUGCUGCAGAGAUGCGGUCUUGACACAGCUGCGUUGUUAAAUCAAGAAGCCAGCAAGAGACAAUCACGGGCAGGGCUGUCUCCUUCGCUGCGAAAUGAUAACCAGCACGUUGUAAACACAGCGCUAUAAGCUCAGCAGCAGUUUAACUCAUGCUCACCAGUGCUCUUAGCACAGAGGCUUUGCCUGUAAAAAUAUCCCCGUAGCAAAAUGCAUCAUUUUCAUUUGAGCUCCCUUUGCAUGUAAUUUCUCGAUUUCCUAUAAUUCACGUUCUCUCUUUGGAAUUAAUAAAAUUAACAAAACUGGGUUUUAACAAUCCUUACUAGCUUUUUUUUUU
ensembl:lncRNA